AACGAACGCUGGCGGCAUGCCUAACACAUGCCAGUCGAACGAGACCUUCGGGUCUAGUGGCGCACGGGUGCGUAACGCGUGGGAACCUGCCCUUAGGUUCGGAAUAACUCCCCGAAAGGGGUGCUAAUACCGGAUAAUGUCUUCGGACCAAAGAUUUAUCGCCUUUGGAUGGGCCCGCGUUGGAUUAGCUAGUUGGUAGGGUAAAAGCCUACCAAGGCGACGAUCCAUAGCUGGUCUGAGAGGAUGAUCAGCCACACUGGGACUGAGACACGGCCCAGACUCCUACGGGAGGCAGCAGUGGGGAAUAUUGGACAAUGGGCGAAAGCCUGAUCCAGCAAUGCCGCGUGAGUGAUGAAGGCCUUAGUGUUGUAAAGCUCUUUUACCCGGGAUGAUAAUGACAGUACCGGGAGAAUAAGCUCCGGCUAACUCCGUG
rnacentral:rRNA from 1 species